rnacentral:rRNA from 1 species
AUUGAACGCUGGCGGCAGGCUUAACACAUGCAAGUCGAGCGGUAACAGAGAGAAGCUUGCUUCUCUGCUGACGAGCGGCGGACGGGUGAGUAAUGCCUAGGAAUCUGCCUAGUAGUGGGGGAUAACUUGCCGAAAGGUAGCUAAUACCGCAUACGUCCUACGGGAGAAAGGAGGGGACCUUCGGGCCUUUCGCUAUUAGAUGAGCCUAGGUCGGAUUAGUUAGUUGGUGAGGUAAUGGCUCACCAAGACCGCGAUCCGUAACUGGUCUGAGAGGAUGAUCAGUCACACUGGAACUGAGACACGGUCCAGACUCCUACGGGAGGCAGCAGUGGGGAAUAUUGGACAAUGGGGGGGAACCCUGAUCCAGCCAUGCCGCGUGUGUGAAGAAGGUCUUAGGAUUGUAAAGCACUUUAAGUUGGGAGGAAGAGCAGUUAACUAAUAUUUGACUGUUUUGACGUUACCGACAGAAUAAGCACCGGCUAACCUCGUGCCAGCCGCCGCUGUAA